rnacentral:lncRNA from 1 species
AGAGUCCUAAUGCUCAUAGACUUUGAGUUCUACGUAUUUGAAACUCUGUGAUCGAGAAUCAGGAUUCUCCAAUCAUGAGUUUCACAUAUUUUGUGUACCAGGAUCAAGAGUCCCACUGGUUUGGGACUUUUUGAUCAAGGUUUCAUAUCGAUGGACUCUGAUGCCUAAUUGUCCAUCGAAUUUGGACUCAAUAUUUAUGAGAGAUUU